ensembl:lincRNA
CUUAAAAGCUAGUCUGUAAGGCAGAGAGAGGUCGCCUCUUUGUAAAGGGUGGCCCCGGCCAGUCGGUUAGAUUCUCAAUGCUUGGCAUGAAAUAAAGCUUUGCUUGACCUUUGCUUUGUAUCAGUCUUGCUCCUUUAAUCAUGGACUCAUUAGUGGAGGGACCUUUCAUUUGGGGGCCCAUCCGGGAUUAAAUGAUGAGAACUGAGCCAGCAUCAGAAUUUCUGGGAAAAGCCUCUGGAGAUGAAUUCUGCCUUAAAGGAAAUUCAUAUGGGAGACUUUCAGGACAAAAACAAGUCUUUGAUAUCCUGGAACUGAAAUGGGACACCAUUGGGAACAUUGGUUAUUUUACCAAGGCUUUGACUGGAAUGUCAUAUUUGAAAAAGACUCAGAUAUAACCAGACAGUUUAAAAGAACUAAGGUUGACUUUAUAAAACCUGGAGCCGUAAAGGCCUUUGGAACUGUUGGCCUGAUACCUUGCUUACAGAGUUCCCAGCAGCCUCACCCCUCACCAGUCACUACAGGCAUUGGAGUCUGUCUUGGAAGGAGCCAGUGCAGGCAUCCAAACUGCCCACACUGGGACAGAGACGGAGGUGGAACCACAUCCUUACCAAACCGGGGAUUUGGUUUGGAUAUGCCACCACCAAGUGGGAAACUUGGAGCCUCGCUAGAAGGGACCGAUUGCUGUCAUCCUAACCACCCCCCAUGGCAAUGGAAGUUGAGGGCAUCAGGGCCUGGAUUCACACAGGUCACGUCAAAUGAGCUGAGGACGAGGACACCCCCAGAGAUGGAUGCCGCUGCCGAUGGACCCCGCCAAUUGUGGACUAAAGCUAAGACUCAAAAAAUAAUGAGUUCAUUAAGUUCAUUGUUGCUCCUAUUGUUAAGAUAUAGGUGGGAGAUAUAGACAAUUGCAAAAUAGAAGAAGGCUUGACAUACUAUUUCUAGAAAAGGGGGGCUCUGUGUAGCCCUAGGAAAGAAAUGCUGUUUCUGGGUAAAUCACACUGGAGUCAUUAAAGACAGUCUGGCAAACGAGGACAUAGAACUGGCUGAAAAGUCAAAGAUUUGACUAAUCUCCAAAGAAAAGGGGGGAAUGUAAGGGCCUAUUAGCCAGAUUGAUUCUAUCUUGGAUUAAACAGUCAUUUUGUUGUUUAUGCAGUAAAACUUAAACUGACCCUGCCCCCCCUCCAGGAGACUUACUUAAAAGAAAGCCUGGGAAACCAGUCCCAGGUGACAAAGCCCAAAUACAAGGGUGGGUCAGGCCAAGUGGAAGUAUCCAAUCAGUGGGGGCGCAUACUGUCUCCCUAGCUACCAAGGAGUGUGGGUCCCACCUUUUGGGCACCAAUUCUGACCAAGGUGAUAGGCUAGUUCAAAUAUCUACAAGGGUAAAUUGUAAUUCAAGUGGUCACUUAUGUGUGACCUAGCAUGACUGUGCAGCUUUCUCUGUGUGUUACAAUCUCAUUGGCCACCUGUGCGUGGCCAGGUCCACCCACAUAGCCUUUGCCCUUAAAAGCUAGUCUGUAAGGCAGAGAGAGGUCGCCUCUUUGUAAAGGGUGGCCCCGGCCAGUCGGUUAGAUUCUCAAUGCUUGGCAUGAAAUAAAGCUUUGCUUGACCUUUGCUUUGUAUCAGUCUUGCUCCUUUAAUCAUGGACCCAUUAGUGGGGGACCUUUCAGUAAUAAUUCCCCAUUCCCCUCCCCAGGCCCUGGAAACCUCUCUUCUUUCUGUGUUUUGAAUUCGC